rnacentral:rRNA from 1 species
AUGAGCCCCGCCGCGACGGACGCCGGCGGCGACCUCUUCGCCGCCAACCUCAAGGGCGCGCUCCUCGCCGUCGCCUCCUCCGCCUUCGUCGGGGUCAGCUUCAUCGUCAAGAAGAAGGGCCUCCGCCGCGCCGGCGCCGUCGGCUCCCGGGCAGGUGUCGGAGGGUAUGGGUACCUCUGGGAGCCGCUCUGGUGGGUCGGGAUGGUCACCAUGCUUGUUGGGGAGACCGCCAAUUUCGUGGCUUACAUGUUUGCGCCAGCCGUCCUCGUCGCUCCGCUGGGAGCACUCAGCAUCAUUGUCAGUGCUGUUCUGGCCCAUUUCAUGCUGAAUGAGAAGUUGCAGCGGGUGGGCGUCCUGGGCUGUAUUCUCUGCAUUGUUGGGUCGACGGUGAUCAUCCUCCACGCUCCCGAGGAGAGGUCCCCGGACUCGGUGGAGCAGAUUUGGCGCCUGGCAACGCAGCCUACCUUCCUUUGCUAUGCUGCUCUAGCAGUGGCUGUUUCAUUGCUUCUUAUGCUAUAUUGUGCUCCACGGUAUGGGCAGACGAACAUAAUGAUCUAUGUUGGUAUUUGCUCUGUUAUCGGAUCCCUCACGGUAAUGAGCAUCAAGGCCGUGGGCAUUGCGAUUAAACUUACCAUUCAGGGCGUAAACCAGGCUGGGUAUUUCCAGACGUGGAUGUUUGUGACGGUUUCAGCUAUAUGCUUAAUCAUCCAGUUAGUUUACCUGAACAAGGCAUUGGAUACUUUCAAUACAGCGCUGGUUUCUCCCAUCUAUUAUGCCAUGUUCACAACCCUCACUAUUUUAGCAAGUGCCAUAAUGUUCAAGGAUUGGUCUGGGCAGAGCGCAAGCAUUAUUGCCUCCGAGACUUGUGGAUUUCUCACAGUUCUUGCCGGUAUUAUUGUGCUACAUUCCACCAAAGAACCUGAUCAAAAUCUGUCCCCAGACCUUUAUGCAUCUCUCACUGCGCCCCUCCCUCCAAAGAUAUAUUGGCACAUCCAAGGAAACGGUGACGUAGGGAAGCAAAAGGAGGACGAGUCGCUUCCCUGCGACUUCAUCACCGUCGUGCGCCAGGACUACUUCGUCUAG